ACGCUCGACACCUACGGUAGGCAGCAGUGGGGAAUAUUGCACAAUGGGGGAAACCCUGAUGCAGCGACGCCGCGUGAGCGAAGAAGUAUUUCGGUAUGUAAAGCUCUAUCAGCAGGGAAGAAAAUGACGGUACCUGACUAAGAAGCCCCGGCUAACUACGUGCCAGUAGCCGCGGUAAUCUGAGCGGGCUGGCAAGGC
rnacentral:rRNA from 1 species